rnacentral:rRNA from 1 species
UACGGAGGGAGCUAGCGUUGUUCGGAAUUACUGGGCGUAAAGCGCACGUAGGCGGCUUUGUAAGUUAGAGGUGAAAGCCUGGAGCUCAACUCCAGAACUGCCUUUAAGACUGCAUCGCUUGAAUCCAGGAGAGGUGAGUGGAAUUCCGAGUGUAGAGGUGAAAUUCGUAGAUAUUCGGAAGAACACCAGUGGCGAAGGCGGCUCACUGGACUGGUAUUGACGCUGAGGUGCGAAAGCGUGGGGAGCAAACAGGG